CAUCCAUUUACACUUCUUUCCAUAUGUUGGUGUGACUCCCCUUCUGUCCGGCAUUACGGCUGCAGUGUACUUGCCGCGUCAGCACACACGACGGCUGGAACUACAGUAUGGUCUUCCCAGUGGACCAGCACCACAUCCAUCUGGAUUGAGACGAGUAGGGGACAUCUCUAGGGUCUUCACAUAUUGAUACACACACCAUUGCAACUUAGAUCACCAUCACCACCACCAUCCCCUGCAUCAGACACCCUAAAUCGUGCCCUUCAUCAGACACCCUACAGUAAAUGCACCACAAACAACACAGGCAAAGAAGAAGAAAACGCACGACAAAUCUCCUCCAGCCCAUCCCACAUCAUCGUAUAGUAAAGUGACGCCGCCGGAUAAUAAUGACGGCCUGUGUGCUUUGCAGCCUUUUCCAGGGAUCCUUCAGAGGACUAACAAUGGUGCUGUGUUAAGAAAUCCUACCCAACAAAAUUCCACUGAGGCAGAUGUAGAGAUGACUGCGAGAAACUGGCUGCGGCUGAGGAGGGACAGGAAGCAAGAGGGCGAGCAUCUUAAAGUGAAAUAAUUGAUUGGACUGAUUUUUCCUGUUUACCUAUUUUGGAGGGAAUUUCUUUUUGUUGUUGUUGUACUUUUCUAUGUGUGAUUUGAUGAGUGUUAAAAUAAAUGAUACUGCUUUUGCAAAAACAAAAGUAAAAAAUAAAUGUUCAAGGUCA